rnacentral:lncRNA from 1 species
AUACAUUCCUAUCUGAACAUACUCAGCUCCAUCUCAAGACCACGGGAGAUUCGGAUUGAACUCCUCAGGUUUUAGAAAGUAGGCCUGAAUCUCAGCAGGUGGAUUUGACUAAAACUCAAGCAGCACAAGGAAAGGGAAAGAGAGGAAGGCAGCAAAGCACCAUGGAGCGUUUCCCCAACGUGGAAAUAAAAAGUUCCACCAACCAAAGAGUCUUCUCCUUCCUCCACCGAACAUGUCACCAGCCGCACCAGGAUCUGAGACGGAAGCUGCACGCUGAAGCUCUCGGGCGAUCUACUCCUCCGUUAUGAAUGGAAGGCACCAGCCGCCUUUCUACUUGUCUUCU